UUUCCGUAGGUGAACCUGCGGAAGGAUCAUUAACAAUAAAAUAAAAUCCACCUUAGGAAAAACCCAGAGGAGAAAUUCAAAGGGUUAUUCCUUAAGCAAACAGUGAACUUUGUUAAAGUUUCUAACAAGAUAUACCAAUCUAAAUUUAUUUAGAAAGGUAUUUUCUUUUUAAAAACAAACUUGUUUAAUUUAUUUUGUCUUAUCCUUCUUUAAACUAAAUUGGUUUUAGGACCUUCUUGGAAAGAAUAUUUAAAUCAAAAGUAACAACUUUUAACAACGGAUAUCUUGGCUCUU
rnacentral:misc_RNA from 1 species